rnacentral:rRNA from 1 species
GUGCCAGCCGCCGCGGUAAUACGGAGGAUGCAAGCGUUAUCCGGAUUUAUUGGGUUUAAAGGGUGCGUAGGCGGGGUAUUAAGUCAGUGGUGAAAGUUUGCAGCUUAACUGUAAAAUUGCCAUUGAUACUGGUACUCUUGAAUACAAUUGAGGUAGGCGGAAUGUGUAAUGUAGCGGUGAAAUGCUUAGAUAUUACACAGAACACCGAUUGCGAAGGCAGCUUGCUAAAUUGUGAUUGACGCUGAGGCAC